rnacentral:lncRNA from 1 species
GCAGAGGAAACUCCCUGAAGAAGGGAGGAGCUGAGAUCCCAGGCUGGGAGAGCAGGCUUGUGUUAAGCAUUACUUAAUCUUUAAUUGCUCCCUGCCUGAAUCUACCAGCCAGCGAAUGACAACUGACUGAGUAUAAAUACUAGGACUACAGAACCGUGAUAAAAGGAGCCUGAGCUGAGUCCACACACUGGAAGCCCAGAACUGAGGGAACAGAUGAAAGAAAGAAAGUCAGCAGGUUUAGGGGAUGAGAACAACUCACAAAGGACAAGCCAUUGGAGUCUCCUGCCCCUGGCCAGGGAGAGCCACAGGCUGGAUGACAUCUGGUUUAUAGUGAGGGGCAGCAGCAACUCCAAGAGGGGGAAGAUGUGACCAUGAGCCCCGCCCCAGACCCAGGAGGCUUGACCUUGGGGCUGCCGUAGCAGUGGAUGCUCUUCAGCUGAAUGACCUAUCCUGGGCCCGUGACCCUGGACUUCAGCCAGAUCAGCAUCUCAAGGUACAACCAACAUCUUGGCUCCAUGAUGGGUCAAAACAGUUAACACACCCAAGGUAUUCAAGGUAUCAGUAGCUACUGACUAUGUCCUGGCCAGCUGUGAAAAGAAAGGGGUGAAUUUAACAAGUAUUCUAAAAUUGUCCUUGACAUAGUAAUCACAGAUUAUCUAUCUUCUGUCUGGUAAUAUAUAUAUAUAUAUAUAUGUUUUUGUUUUUGUUGUUGUUGUUUUGUUUUUUUGUGACGGAGUUUCGCUCUUUUUACCCAGGCUGGAGUUCAAUGGCAUGAUCUCGGCUCACUGCAACCUCUGCCUCUGGGUUCAAGUGAUUCUCCUGCCUCAGCCUCCUGAGUAGCUGGGAUUACAGGUGUGUGCCACCACGCCCGGCUAAUUUCCUAUAUUUUUAGUAGAGACGGGUUUUCACCACGUCGGCCAGGCUGGUUUCGAACUCCUGACUUCAGGUGAUCCACCCACCUCGGCCUCCCAAAGUGCUGGGAUUACAGGCGUGAGCCACCACUCCCAGCCUCUGUCUGGUAAUUUAAAUGCUUUGGAGACUCCAAGAUUCACCCAUGUCCAAAAUAAAUUCUAUAUCAGUCAUAGUACUAGCAUUUAGAAGUUGUGUGUUUUAUCCUCUAAUUAUAGAUGAAAUACCUAAGGUGGAAAGGAGUAAAGCAGCUUCCAUGAAUGUAGUGAGAAUGUAGGGGGGUUAGGGACUAAAGUCCUGCCUUAGGAUUCCCCAGCAGUUGCCAGUCACAAUUUUUGUACUCUUAGAAACAACAACAACAACAACAAAAUGACAACCUGUUUUGUUCCUCUGCUUACCCUAUCCAAUUCUCUACACCAUAACAUCUCUGCUUAUCAAGACAACUUGGAUUCUCAAUUUGUUGAGCUCAACAAAUGCAUCUCUUGAGCCCCUGUGGGUAAAGCAUUAUGCUAGUUAUGGCGGGUGAUACAGAGGAAGCACAGAAGAGUCCUUAGUGACAAGAGCUUAAGAUUUCUGCUCUCAGCUCAGCCUGAGUUGCCUGCAG